CUGGGAUUGUCCCAACCCACAUGCUACACCUUGCACUUGGCCUUGUUGAACUUCACUAGGUUCACAUGAACCCACUUCUCAAGCUUGUCCAGGUCUCUGUGGGUGGCAUCCCUUCCUUUUGUUGCGUCAAUUACACCACCCAGCUUAGUGUCAUCUGCAAACUUGCUGAGAGUGCACUCAAUCCCACUAUACCACAGCCAAUUCAGCAGUUUUUACAAAAGUUUGAGUGAUGCUAAUUAAGUUGUAUAACUGUCUUCACAAAUGGCCUCUAAUAAUGAGUUCCUCAUUCGCUGACCGCAAGCUUUGCAAUGUGACUUGCACGAGUACUUUUUGUCUAUAGCUGCAACUGAAGACAGUUGAUGCCAUAGUUUGAAUAUAAAAUUAAAUAGAAUUUUAGGUUCCACAGGUGAGGCUUGAAAACAGGAGGACAUUUUUUCCUUAGGCUUUCUGUAUGUCAGAUCUCCACCUUAAAGUCUGUGUUCGUACGUGUUCUUUCACCUCACAGGCAUUUAGGGAAAAUAAUUGCUGGCAGCAAAACUCUAUAGCAACAGAGGUGAUUUUCUCAGCCAUGCUCUAGGCAGCGUCAUAUAAACACCCGAUUUGACCUCUCUCACAUUAGCAUUACUUACCUUUUGACCUUGACUACACAGCUUCAACACUGAAGGAGUCUGGGGGAGAAUGGUGUUGGUGUGAGCAGAUAUGUGCCAUGACAGACCGAGUUUCUUGAGGGAUAGUCACACUAGUUCACUCUAGUGGUAAAUACGUGAAAAGCACAUGUCAAAAGAAAGCCACAACAUACACUUUCCUUCACUUCAAUCUUAAUUCCAGGAAAAGAGUUUAUCUGUGUCAUUCUUCUCCAUUAUGUGCAUUAAUGCACUGUGGAAUUUGUAAUAUACUGCAUGUGUUUAACUUAGAAAUGCUUGGGACUGGAUGGGGUUCGACUAGAGGGUGAUGUGCAUGCAAGGCUGCUGCUGACCCUCUACAGAAAAUCCUGGAGACCUCCCAGCUGAUGAGAAGAGUUAAUGCUAAAGGAUGAGGAUCUACAGGGAAGGAUGGCAGUCAGCUUCCCCUUUGGCGUCAAGGACUGCCAAGCACAUGGGAAUUCAUUUUCAGGCUCAUGAAGCUACCAGGCAGCAGGCAGGGUCAGGCCGGGUUCUGUCUUCUGUGCUGGGAUGGCUGGCUCUGGAGACAUGGGGACAGUCGUGGAUAUGUCUUGUCUCCAAAAUAACUUUUGACGUGGCCUCACACAGGACUCUCAUCUGAAUGCUGAGAAACAUGGGCUGGAUGAAGGGCCUGGCAGGCAGAUUGGAGGCCCUUUGACCUUCUGGACUCAAAAAAGUCAUACAGAGUAGGAGGAACCUAUGGAACGUGCCUGUUACAAUUCCAUGAAAGAACCCACGCAGAAGGUGAAACGCUGGCCAAUUCCAUCCACUGCAGAUGUGUUAGGGAGAUUUCCCUGGCCCUGUCUACUGCUAGCCUUUUCUCUCCAGACAAGGAGCAAUGGUCUAAAACUUAAAUGUAGGAAGGUCCAUGCAAACAUGCAGAAGAACUUCUUUAUGGUAAAGGUGAUGGUGCCUGGAACAGGUUGCCCAGAGAGAUUGUAGAGUCUUCUUCUACGGAGAUAUUCAAUACCUGCCUGGAUGCCUACCUGUGCGACCUGCUGUAGGGAACCUGCUUUAGGAGGGGGGUCAGACUCCAUGAUCUCUUGAGGUCCCUCCCAUCCCCUGCAAUUCUGUGAUUCAGUGAUUCUCUCUCUCCAGCCCACUUGGCAUGCAAGUAGGGCUCAUUGUAGGAUCCUUGGACCACAAACAAAGCAAGCUUGCUUAGCUGUUCUCCUGACCUCCUUACCUUGUUUUCCACGAGCACCUCCUUACCCCUGCAAUGUGAUCUCCUGCUCACACGCUGUUUUCACAGCAACGUGUACUGGGUGUGACGUGCUGAGCAACACGCAAACAGCAAUUUCACUUCUCAGGAAGUUCCUCUGGCUUGACAGCUCAUGCUGUUGACUCAUGACAGAUCUUUAACCUGGAGAACCACUGUUCCAGACCCAGUUUUUCUGGAGGACAGGACUGCGCUGUGCGCUUGAGCUGCGCUGUGUGUGCGCUGUGUAUUUCAGAAGUAUGCACCAAGUGUUGGAUGGCUGCUAAGUGUUGUAUUGAUUCACACCCACAUAGCAACUGAGAUGUGCAGCUUAUGGUAGGAACACUAAACCCCCCAUUUGUUCACAAUACAUUCACAGAUGCAGAAGCCAUAAGGUAUUUUUGUGAAGGCAAUGAAACGUGCAUGGCAAAAAUCCUUGUAAAUUGGUAAUGGUUAAAUUUCACCAUUAUUGCUUAUUCAGCCUAUUGGGUGGGUCUUUUGGUUUCUUUUACGGGUUGGGAGGGGGUCCAGGGUCAUAUUCUGGAAAUGAAGACAGUAUUUUUAUUAAUUAAGAAAAACGAUGUUUGAGUUCUAAAUUAAAUCUGAAUACCCUUAAGCUGCCCUGCUGUGAGUGCUUUUACGCAGAACUUCUGGCAGAGAGUCAAGUGUUGUCACCAUUCCUAUGCCCAAUGUUUGCUAUUUAGGCAUGUAUUCAGGGAUUUCUGGUGAAGACAGGGCAAUAUUAAUGCCUCUGUGCAAGCCCAAGUGAAACUUCACCCAAACUUGGGCAUACAAAACCAAGACAGUCCGUGUCCAACCAGCAUGAAUGCACAGGGGCUAGAAAAUGUUGUGUUAGGAUCUACAUCCUCAUCUGGUUCAUAUAUAGUUCACUGGUUCGCUAUAAAGAGACUCUGUGCUCAUCUAUUCUGACUUUCUGCAUCAUAAAGUCUUUAAACAGUAUUUCUGAACUUAUUCUGUGUUGACCGAAGAUGCACAUUUAGGAAAGGGGAGGAGGAGGCAAUCUGACCUGAAUUUACAGAAGUCCAUUAAUGGAGAAUUCAUUGCAGCCCUUAGGAAAAUAUCUCAGUGUUAAUUACCUUCACAGUUAAUUACCUUCAAUUAUCAUCACAGUUACGUAUUUAAUAUUUAUUUCUAGUCUAAGCUUUCUUCAGCCUUCAUGUACCGAAGCGUAUGAUGCCUCACUUUGCUGCAGCCAGGAGAUUAACUGUGACAUCAGCUCUGGCGUAAAUGCUGGACCUCACCAUAACAAUCAUCAGCACUGGGAAGAACUGGGACUGACGUGUCCUAGUGGGGUUUCUGCCUUCCCUGACUUCUUCAGAUACAUCACAGCUCGUGUAACCUUCCAUGGAGUAAGGCUCUGUUCUUGGCAUGGACUGCAGAAGCACUGUCAGAUUUUCAACUUCCUUGACUGCAUGCGUCAGCCUCAUGAUAUAUGGGCUGAAGAGAAGUGGAAAGGAAGACAUGUGAAAAAUAUUGCAGAGCUUUGUUUCUCCAGUAUUGUUUCCACAGAUUUGCUUUAAGAAUCAUAUUAGGCUGGCAGGAGGAGCUCUUUUAUUCCCUUGUGGUAUAAAUCUAAAACGCUUGCUUGCUAUGGAGAAGACAUUUAAAUUUGCAGCCGUGUGGCAGCAAUCUGUAUCCUUCUGGAAAUCACCUGCAUUUAUUCACCCUUAACGGCACUGUCACUUGUUCUCCUUGACCUUACAAAGGAGAUGUGAGGAUCAGAUUUCCAGACACUGUGAAUCCCUUUCUUAGAGACCAGUUUGAAUUUCAGUCUGAAGUGAGACAUUUUGCUGGGCACAUGUUGAAGCACAUUAGUCAUGGAAGCGGUUGUAACCCAUCAGUGACAUUUGUCUGUGUUACUCUACCUGGUUAGCUGACACCAACUCCACAGUACUUGAAAUCUGCUGACUUUACUGAAGGGUCAGGCUUGCUACGCCACCUAGAAAAACAAGGAAGUUGGAAGACACCAUUUAAAUACAGUUUAUAAAGGAUCUGAGCCAAUCAUUAUGGGGAGAAGAGACAUCCCAAAGGGACGGGAGUUUUGGAGCUUGCUGAUGACUCAUUUCAUAAAACCAGAAAAUUGA